rnacentral:rRNA from 1 species
UCGAGAAUUUUUCACAAUGGGGGCAACCCUGAUGGAGCGACGCCGCGUGGAGGAUGAAGGUUUUCGGAUUGUAAACUCCUGUCACUACAGAACAAGGUUUUCAGGUCUAAUAAACUUGGAGAUUGAUGGUAUGUGGAGAGGAAGGGACGGCUAACUCUGUGCCAGCAGCCGCGGUAAUACAGAGGUCCCGAGCGUUGUUCGGAUUCAUUGGGCGUAAAGGGUGUGUAGGAGGUUGGGUAAGUCGGAUGUGAAAUCUCACCGCUUAACGGUGAAAUGGCGUUCGAUACUGCUCAGCUAGAGGAUCGGAGGGGAGAGCGGAAUUCUUGGUGUAGCAGUGAAAUGCGUAGAUAUCAAGAGGAACACCGGUGGCGAAGGCGGCUCUCUGGAAGAUUCCUGACUCUGAGACACGAAAGCUAGGGGAGCAAACGGGAUUAGAUACCCGCGUAGUCC